UAUUUAUUUUUAUAGCCCUGGUGAUACACAGGGAGGACUGAGACCUCCCGGACCUCUAUGAGUUAAGUAAAAUCAGCAUGUAAAAGAUGAGACCCAAUCUACAGAAUUGACCUUUAAAAAGACAGGAUGUCUUUCAGAUCAGAAACAGAAAGAGAAGGACAGCAUUAUCACAUUUAGAGAAGAAAUACUGCAGCAGCAGAAGAGCUGGUCUGGGUGCUGACAGCACAUCCACUAAGAGAACCCCAUCCCUGGCACCAGAGUGAAACCACCUCUGAAGAACUGAUUAGUUCUGAGGCGCUGGAGUUUCUCUGGACCUGCCAAGCAGGGGUCGAGGGGCAGACCCUGACUGUCGCUGCCACACCUGCUGCAGCCACACCAUGGCAGGAGCACAGGCCCAGGACAGUGGACACGGGGCACUUCCAGAUGCUGCUGUUUCACAAACACCAAGGUUAUGGUUUCUGGAAAACGUCAUGGUUUUGAAAGGUAUUUCCACUGUAAUCAUCUGAGACCUCCAGAUUAAACAGAAAAUCCUGAUCCAGUGUUUGUUAGA